rnacentral:rRNA from 1 species
CACGCCCUAAACGAUGUCAACUAGUUGUUCGUAGAGGUAACUCUGUGAGUAACGCAGCUAACGCGUGAAGUUGACCGCCUGGGGAGUACGGCCGCAAGGUUAAAACUCAAAGGAAUUGACGGGGACCCGCACAAGCGGUGGAUGAUGUGGAUUAAUUCGAUGCAACGCGAAAAACCUUACCUACCCUUGACAUGUCCAGAACCCUCGAGAGAUUGAGGGGUGCCUUCGGGAGCUGGAACACAGGUGC